GCCGGGUAUGGUGGUGGGUGCCUGUAAUCCCAGCUACUCGGGAGGCUGAGGCAGGAGAAUCCCUUGAACCCAGGAGGUGGAGGUUGCAGUGAGCUGAGAUCGGCCACUGUACUCCAGCCUGGGCGACAGAGCGAGACUCUGUCUCAA
rnacentral:SRP_RNA from 1 species